rnacentral:rRNA from 1 species
AGGACGAACGCUGGCGGCGUGCUUAACACAUGCAAGUCGAGCGGAAAGGCCCUUCGGGGUACUCGAGCGGCGAACGGGUGAGUAACACGUGAGUAAUCUGCCCCUAGCUCUGGGAUAGCUCCGGGAAACCGGGAUUAAUACCAGAUACGACCACUUUAGACAUCUGCUGUGGUGGAAAGAAUUUCGGCUAGGGAUGAGCUCGCGGCCUAUCAGCUUGUUGGUGAGGUAACGGCUCACCAAGGCGACGACGGGUAGCCGGCCUGAGAGGGCGACCGGCCACACUGGGACUGAGACACGGCCCAGACUCCUACGGGAGGCAGCAGUGGGGAAUAUUGCGCAAUGGGCGAAAGCCUGACGCAGCGACGCCGCGUGGGGGAUGAAGGCCUUCGGGUUGUAAACCCUUUCAGCAGGGACGAAGCGAAGUGACGGUACUGCAGAAGAAGCGCCGGCUAACUACGUGCCAGCAGCCGC